ACCGACAGAAUGGGAAAAAAUAUUUGCAAACUAUGCAACAGAUAAAGGGUUAAUAACCAGAAUCUACAAAGAGAUCAAGAAACUCCACAAAAACAAAACCAACAACCCACUUAAGAGAUGGGCCAAGACCUCAAUAGACAUUUUUCAAAAGAGGAAAUCCAAAUGGCCAACAGGCACAUGAAAAAAUGUUCAAGGUCACUAGCAAUCAGGGAAAUGCAAAUCAAAAGCACAAUGAGGUUUCACCUCACCCCGGUUAGAAUGGCUCACAUACAGAAAUCUACCAACAACAGAUGCUGGCGAGGAUGUGGGGAAAAAGGGACACUAACCCACUGUUGGUGGGAAUGCAAACUGGUCAAGCCACUAUGGAAGUCAGUCUGGAGAUUCCUCAGAAACCUGAAGAUAACCCUACCGUUCGACCCAGCCAUCCCACUCCUUGGAAUUUACCCAAAGGAGUUUAAAUUGAUAAAGAAAAAAGCGGUCUGCACCCUAAUGUUUAUUGCAGCACAAUUCACAAUAGCCAAGACCUGGAACCAACCUAAAUGCCCAUCAAUGGUAGACUGGAUAAAGAAAUUAUGGGAUAUGUAUUCUUUAGAAUACUAUACCGCAGUAAGAAACAACGAAAUCCAGUCAUUUGCAACAAAAUGGAGGAAUCUGGAACACAUCAUGCUGAGUGAAGUAAGCCAGUCCCAAAGGGACAAAUACCAUAUGUUCUCCCUGAUCGGUGACAACUGACUGAACACCAAAAAGGAAACCUGUUGAAGUGAAAUGGACACUAUGAGAAAUGGUGACUUGAUCAGCAUAGCCCUGACUGCUAAUGGACAACUUAAUACAUUAUCCCUCAUAGUAUUUUUUUUUUGUCUGUUCUACUUAAUAUGACUGGUUUAAUUCUGUAAUUAUCACACAGUUAUUCUUAAGUGUUGAAAAUUAACUGAAAUGUGAUCCCUGUUAAACAUAAAAGUGGGAAUAAGAGAGGGAAGAGAUGUAUAAUUUGGGGCAUGCUCGGGCUGACUUGCCCCAAUUGGUAGAGUUGGAAACAUACUAGGGGAUUCCAAUUCAAUCCCAUCAAGGUGGCAUGUGCCAAUGCCAUCUCACUAUUCCAAGUGAUCAAUUUCAGUUCACAAUUGAUCAUAAUGAAAGGACUAAGAGUCAAAGGGAGCACAUAAACAAGUCUAGUAUCUGCUAACACUAACCGAUAGAAUAAAUAAAGGGGAGAGUGAUCCAACAUGGGAAGUGAGAUACUCAGCAGACUCAUAGAAUGGCGGAUGUCCUAAAUAGCACUCUGGCCUCAGAAUCAGCCCUAAAGGCACUCGGAUCUGGCUGAAAAGCCCAUGAGAGUAUUUCAGGCAUGGAAAGCCAAGACACUCUGGCAAAAAGAUCUCUGUGAGUGAGAUCCCAGUGGAAAGAACAGGUCUUCAAAGAGGGAGGUGCCUUUCUCUGAAGGGAGGAGAGAACCUCCACUUUGACUAUGACCUUGUCUAAACAAGAUAAGAGUCGGAGAACUCAAGGGGCUUCCAUAGCCUUGGAAACUCAUGACUGGUGCAUAGGGAGAUUACUGAUGCCAUAAACAGGAGUGUCAAUUUGUAAAGUCAACAACAGGAGUCACUGUGCACUUACUCCUCAUGUAGGAUCUCUGUCCUUAAUGUGCUGUACACUGAGGCUUAAUGCUAUAACGAGUACUCAAACAGUAUAUUUCACUUUGUGUUUCUAUGGGGGUGCAAACGAUUGAAAUCUUUACUUAAUGUACACUAAACUGAUCUUCUGUUAAAAAAAAAGAAAAAAAAAAGAAACUAUCAAUUCCCAACUUGACUCUCACUGGGAUUAAACAUGACAAUAGGUCUGAUCUGAUUUCAUCAUCAUUUAAAAAAAAAAUCAUCUAUUAUUUUUCACUUUAUGUUUCUGUGUGGGAACAAACUGUUGAAAUCCUUACUUAAGGUAUACUAAGCUGAUCUUCUGU